rnacentral:rRNA from 1 species
GAACGCUAGCUACAGGCUUAACACAUGCAAGUCGAGGGGCAGCAUGGUCUUAGCUUGCUAAGACUGAUGGCGACCGGCGCACGGGUGAGUAACACGUAUCCAACCUGCCGUCUACUCUUGGACAGCCUUCUGAAAGGAAGAUUAAUACAAGAUGGCAUCAUGAGUCCGCAUGUUCACAUGAUUAAAGGUAUUCCGGUAGACGAUGGGGAUGCGUUCCAUUAGAUAGUAGGCGGGGUAACGGCCCACCUAGUCUUCGAUGGAUAGGGGUUCUGAGAGGAAGGUCCCCCACAUUGGAACUGAGACACGGUCCAAACUCCUACGGGAGGCAGCAGUGAGGAAUAUUGGUCAAUGGGCGAGAGCCUGAACCAGCCAAGUAGCGUGAAGGAUGACUGCCCUAUGGGUUGUAAACUUCUUUUAUAAAGGAAUAAAGUCGGGUAUGGAUACCCGUUUGCAUGUACUUUAUGAAUAAGGAUCGGCUAACUCCGUGCCAGCAGCCGCGGUAAUACGGAGGAUCCGAGCGUUAUCCGGAUUUAUUGGGUUUAAAGGGAGCGUAGAUGGAUGUUUAAGUCAGUUGUGAAAGUUUGCGGCUCAACCGUAAAAUUGCAGUUGAUACUGGAUAUCUUGAGUGCAGUUGAGGCAGGCGGAAUUCGUGGUGUAGCGGUGAAAUGCUUAGAUAUCACGAAGAACUCCGAUUGCGAAGGCAGCCUGCUAAGCUGCAACUGACAUUGAGGCUCGAAAGUGU